GGGGAAUAUUGCACAAUGGGCGAAAGCCUGAUGCAGCGACGCCGCGUGAGGGAUGGAGGCCUUCGGGUUGUAAACCUCUUUCGCUCAUGGUCAAGCCGCAACUUGGGGUUGUGGUGAGGGUAGUGGGUAAAGAAGCGCCGGCUAACUACGUGCCAGCAGCCGCGGUAAUACGUAGGGCGCGAGCGUUGUCCGGAAUUAUUGGGCGUAAAGGGCUUGUAGGCGGUUGGUCGCGUCUGCCGUGAAAUCCUCUGGCUUAACUGGGGGCGUGCGGUGGGUACGGGCUGACUUGAGUGCGGUAGGGGAGACUGGAACUCCUUGUGUAGCGGUGGAAUGCGCAGAUAUCAGGAAGAACACCGGUGGCGAAGGCGGGUCUCUGGGCCGUUACUGACGCUGAGGAGCGAAAGCGUGGGGAGCGAACAGGAUUAGAUACCCUGGUAGUCCACGCUGUAAACGUUGGGCACUAGGUGUGGGGGCCACCCGCGGUUUCUGCGCCGUAGCUAACGCUUUAAGUGCCCCGCCUGGGGAGUACGGCCGCAAGGCUA
rnacentral:rRNA from 1 species